rnacentral:rRNA from 1 species
AUGCAAGUCGAGCGGUAACAGGUGUAGCAAUACAUGCUGACGAGCGGCGAACGGGUGAGUAAUGCUUCGGAAUCUGCCCAAUGGUGGGGAAUAACCAGCCGAAAGGUUGGCUAAUACCGCAUAAGUCCUACGGGGGAAAGCAGGGGAUCGCAAGACCUUGCGCCGAUGGAUGAGCCGAAGUCGGAUUAGCUAGCUGGUAGGGUAACGGCCUACCAAGGCGACGAUCCGUAGCUGGUCUGAGAGGACGACCAGCCACACUGGGACUGAGACACGGCCCAGACUCCUACGGGAGGCAGCAGUGGGGAAUAUUGGACAAUGGGGGAAACCCUGAUCCAGCGACGCCGCGUGUGUGAAGAAGGCCUGCGGGUUGUAAAGCACUUUUAGUGGGGAUGAAAAGCUCAGGGCUAACACCUCUGGGUCUUGACCCAACCCAAAGAAAAAGCACCGGCUAACUCUGUGCCAGCAGCCGCGGUAAUACAGAGGGUGCGAGCGUUAAUCGGAAUUACUGGGCGUAAAGCGUGCGUA